rnacentral:rRNA from 1 species
GACGUAGGGGGCCAGCGUUGUUCGGAAUUACUGGGUGUAAAGGGUUCGUAGGCGGUGUAGCAAGUCGGGAGUGAAAUCUCUGGGCUUAACCCAGAGGCUGCUUCCGAAACUGCUGUGCUUGAGUGUGGGAGAGGCGCGUGGAAUUGCAGGUGUAGCGGUGAAAUGCGUAGAUAUCUGCAGGAACACCCGUGGCGAAAGCGGCGCGCUGGACCACUACUGGCGCUGAGGAACGAAAGCUAGGGGAGCAAACAGG